rnacentral:lncRNA from 1 species
UCCAAAACGCCCUCACCACCGUUCUUCAGGAUCAACGCGCUCAACGCGAUGCUCCAGAUAAUCAGCAGGGUCUGCGGCCUCGCCAUCGCGGUGCUCACCUUGACGCAUCAGACGAUGAAGAGCUCGUCGACAAUGUUUUUGCUGACCACCGAGACGACCAAUAUCAACGACGCGAUGCUCAGCGACAACCUCAAUACCGG